UCUUAGCAACUAGUGCAGGUGACAUCCAAAAAUUUUUCUUUACACAUUAGCUUAUGCAUUUGCACCAUUUAUAUAUGUGAGUACUAAUGUUAUUUUAUAAUUGAUCGAUUAGUGUCCAAGACAAGAAGGAGGGUUCGAAUAUGGCUACUUUGUUAUGAGAUUCAUUAAAGAGAUAAUUUUUUAUCCUACAAUUAUUGCUUCAAAGUUUGGUGAUAAAAAAAAAACAUAUUCUCAAGUAGAAUUCGAUGAAAUUAGAGGAGAAUGGGCUACUUUUGUGCUACAACUAAUCAUGAAUCAUGUUGAUGCAUCAUGAUCACCAUGCAUGGUAUACACUCUUGGGAGGGUGAAAUGGAGAAUAAAAAAAAGGAAGAAGGCAACAAGAUUUUGAGUUUUUAAAUGCAACUCUUAUGUCAUA